ACCUGGCUGGCUCAGUCUGUAGAGCACGUGACUCUCGAUCUUGGGGUUGUGAGCUCGAGCCCCUUGUUGGGUA
rnacentral:tRNA from 1 species